GCAAGUCGAGGGGUAACGGGGAGCUUGCUCCGCCGACGACCGGCGCAAGGGUGCGUAACGCGUAUACAAUCUGCCUUUUGCUGAGGAAUAGCCCAGAGAAAUUUGGAUUAAUGCCUCAUGGUAUGCAUUUUCCGCAUGGGUUCUGCAUUAAAGGGCACGGCAAAAGAUGAGUAUGCGUCCUAUGAGCUAUAUGGUGCGGUAACGGCGCACCAUGGCAACGAUAGGUAGGGGCCCUGAGAGGGGUAGC
rnacentral:rRNA from 1 species